rnacentral:rRNA from 1 species
ACUCCUCCGGGAGGCAGCAGUGAGGAAUAUUGGACAAUGGGUGGAAGCCUGAUCCAGCCAUCCCGCGUGCAGGAAGACGGCCCUAUGGGUUGUAAACUGCUUUUAUCUGGGGAUAAACCUACUUACGUGUAAGUAGCUGAAGGUACCAGAAGAAUAAGCACCGGCUAACUCCGUGCCAGCAGCCGCGGUAAUACGGAGGGUGCAAGCGUUAUCCGGAUUUAUUGGGUUUAAAGGGUCCGUAGGCGGACUGAUAAGUCAGUGGUGAAAUCCGACAGCUUAACUGUCGAACUGCCAUUGAUACUGUUAGUCUUGAGUAAGGUUGAAGUGGCUGGAAUAAGUAGUGUAGCGGUGAAAUGCAUAGAUAUUACUUAGAACACCAAUUGCGAAGGCAGGUCACUAAGUCUUAACUGACGCUGAUGGACGAAAGCGUGGGGAGCGAACAGGAUUAGAAACCCGAGUAGUCCCAUGA